GUUGUUCUUCAUCCACCAACAAGGAAAAGAACAUCAAACAAAGAUAAACAAGAGUUGUGGCAAACUUCAUUUAGAUUAAGAUUUUUCAUUUUCGUGAGAUUAGAGCCCUAAGUAUAACAUUCUUAGCAACCAUGAGACGAGAGUUGCAUAAAGAAGAUGGACUGUUUGUUUCAAGUCUGAUUUCAGAAUUCUGAUCAGCUUGCAACUGAAUUCUUCCCGUGAACUUAAAUUUACUGCUGUCAUGGUUCCCGAAGCUCGAUCCUGCGUUGAGGAAAGGUAUUGCCUAAUCAGAAUCAGCUCGGCAGAAAGGCAUACACAAAAGCAUAGAAGUUGAGUUGAUCCCGCAACGAGAGUAGGAAGCCUCCCUCCACGCAGGAAGGAUUCGUUUGAAUCUACCUUGACACUGGAAAAAUCCAGAUAGUCGGUGGUGUCUCUAGUGAUGUUUAGUUGCUCCAAAAGACCACCAUAUGACAUCAAUGGACCAUCUUCAAUCGAAGAUAUGUCUUCAUUAAAAGUCUCCCACGAAAACGGUUCAACAUUCGUCGGUGAAAAUGACAUCUGGUUUAUUUGAACUUCAACCUGGAGCAUGAAGAAUUAGGAUUUGCCUUGGUAUGUACAAUUAGAUUGCAUUACUGAUUUGGAAGAUAAUCUGAGUGACAUAAACCAAGGCAUCAAGGUGCAAUAUAACCUUUAAGAAAGAUAUGAAAAAAAUGAAGUACGCAUAUUAUGCUUCUUAAGCCA